rnacentral:rRNA from 1 species
AGUCGAACGAUGAAAGCCGGAGCUUGCUCUGGCUGGAUUAGUGGCGAACGGGUGAGUAACACGUGAGUAACCUGCCCCAGACUCUGGGAUAAGCACUGGAAACGGUGUCUAAUACCGGAUACGAACUUCAGCCGCAUGGCUAGGAGUUGGAAAGAAUUUCGGUCUGGGAUGGACUCGCGGCCUAUCAGCUAGUUGGUGAGGUAACGGCCCACCAAGGCGACGACGGGUAGCCGGCCUGAGAGGGUGACCGGCCACACUGGGACUGAGACACGGCCCAGACUCCUACGGGAGGCAGCAGUGGGGAAUAUUGCACAAUGGGCGCAAGCCUGAUGCAGCAACGCCGCGUGAGGGACGACGGCCUUCGGGUUGUAAACCUCUUUUAGUAGGGAAGAAGCGAAAGUGACGGUACCUGCAGAAAAAGCACCGGCUAACUACGUGCCAGCAGCCGCGGUAAUACGUAGGGUGCAAGCGUUAUCCGGAAUUAUUGGGCGUAAAGAGCUCGUAGGCGGUUUGUCGCGUCUGCUGUGAAAACUGGGGGCUCAACCCCCAGCCUGCAGUGGGUACGGGCAGACUAGAGUGCGGUAGGGGAGAUUGGAAUUCCUGGUGUAGCGGUGGAAUGCGCAGAUAUCAGGAGGAACACCGAUGGCGAAGGCAGAUCUCUGGGCCGUAACUGACGCUGAGGAGCGAAAGCAUGGGGAGCGAACAGGAUUAGAUACCCUGGUAGUCCAUGCCGUAAACGUUGGGAACUAGAUGUAGGGUCCAUUCCACGGAUUCUGUGUCGCAGCUAACGCAUUAAGUUCCCCGCCUGGGGAG